rnacentral:rRNA from 1 species
GACGAACGCUGGCGGCGUGCUUAACACAUGCAAGUCGAACGGUGAAGGGACCAGCUUGCUGGUUCUGGAUGAGUGGCGCACGGGUGAGUAACACGUGAGUAACCUGCCCCCUUCUUCUGGAUAACCGCAUGAAAGUGUGGCUAAUACGGGAUAUUCUGGGUCUGUCGCAUGGCAGGCCCGGGAAAGAUAUUGCUUCGGUGGGGGAUGGGCUCGCGGCCUAUCAGCUUGUUGGUGGGGUGAUGGCCUACCAAGGCGGUGACGGGUAGCCGGCCUGAGAGGGUGGACGGUCACACUGGGACUGAGACACGGCCCAGACUCCUACGGGAGGCAGCAGUGGGGAAUAUUGCACAAUGGGCGCAAGCCUGAUGCAGCGACGCCGCGUGAGGGAUGGAGGCCUUCGGGUUGUAAACCUCUUUCGCCAGUGAAGCAGGCCUGCUCCUUGUGGGUGGGUUGACGGUAGCUGGAUAAGAAGCGCCGGCUAACUACGUG